rnacentral:rRNA from 1 species
CUACGGGACGCAGCAGUGGGGAAUAUUGCACAAUGGGCGCAAGCCUGAUGCAGCAACGCCGCGUGAAUGAUGAAGGCCUUCGGGUCGUAAAAUUCUGUCCUUAAGGAAGAUAAUGACGGUACUUAAGGAGGAAGCCCCGGCUAACUACGUGCCAGCAGCCGCGGUAAUACGUAGGGGGCUAGCGUUAUCCGGAUUUACUGGGCGUAAAGGGUGCGUAGGUGGUUUUUCAAGUCAGAGGUUAAAGGCUACGGCUCAACCGUAGUAAGCCUUUGAAACUGGAAAACUUGAGUGCAGGAGAGGAAAGUGGAAUUCCCAGUGUAGCGGUGAAAUGCGUAGAUAUUGGGAGGUACACCAGUAGCGAAGGCGGCUUUCUGGACUGUAACUGACACUGAGGCACGAAAGCGUGGGUAGCAAACAGGAUUAGAUACCCGCGUAGUC